GAGAACUGUUAAAAACACUAAUUAAUUUGAAAAAAAAUCAGUGAAAGGAUUUUUGUUUUUAAACUGGAGAAUUGAUAUUAGAUUAGUCAGGCCGUAUUUUGUUCCCCACCACCAUGACUACUAAAGUGCGCCGUACAAUCUGUCAAAUAAUAAAACAUAUUUUACAGACCAUAGUCUGUCUGGGGCAGUCACAUUUCGACAACUUCGUCGGUUUCAAAGGUUUGCUUUGUGUUCAAGCCCAGUGCCAAAAAGUGGAAGAAGAGGCCAACUGUGGAGGAUUAUUUCGCUCAUGGCAAUGAGGACACAGAGAAUAGCAGACAUUAUUGGAGAAAAUGAAAGCAGACACCGAGUUUCUGCAGGAUGAGCUGAACAGGAUCAUCUUAGACAGCCUAUUGGAGUUUAUCAGAAAGAGUGCCUCCACUUUCCAGCGGGGCACGGGUGACUGGGCAAGAGGAGUGAAUGUGCCAAAUCAUGAAAUUACCUUCCAGAGCUCCUCUAACCAGCUGCAGCAGUCGGUGACUCCUUUUUGUUGUCUCCAUACAAGCCAAAGAGUGUGCAG